GCGCACGCUAAGGGCUGGGCGAAGAACCAGACCCAGGGGGCAGCGCUGUUCCUGGGUUUCAUGCACGAAAAGAAAUCAAGCCCGGGGACUGCUGCCAGCCCUAGGGGACAAAGAUGGAAAACCAUGGUUAUGGAGGGGCACUAAGCACCUGGAGCCACCAGAGCCAAGGCCUGGGCAGGGACAAAGUGACACCAUGCAGGACAUAAGGGAGAAGAGCCCAGCAGAGGACCUAAUGCACAAGUCAUGGGAGAAAUCCAGAGCAAGAGCAGCAUCACAGCACUACACACAUCACAGACAUCUACCGGACUCAGAGACCAUCUUUGCACAGAUUCCUUCCCAGAUACAAGGAAAAAAU